UCCCUGGUAGUCCAGUGGUUAGGAACCUGCCUUGCAGUGCAGGGGACUUGGGUUCAAUCCCUAGCCAGGGAA
rnacentral:tRNA from 1 species